rnacentral:rRNA from 1 species
GAUGAACGCUGGCGGCGCGCCUAACACAUGCAAGUCGAACGGUUAAAGCACGUUCGGGUGUGUAUAAAGUGGGGAACGGCUGAGUAACACGUGGGCAAACUGCCCCCUUCACUGGGGUAGCAACGGGAAACAGUGGAGAAUAUAGCAUACUUCGGCUCUUGCGCAUGGAUGACUGGAGGAAGCUUUCGGCGGUUGGGGUUGGACUCGCGGCUUGUCAGCUGGUUGGUGGGGUAGUGGCUUACCAAGGCAUUGAGGGGUAGCUGGCUUGAGAGGGCGACCGGCCAGAUUGGGACUGAGACACGGCCCAGACUCCUACGGGAGGCAGCAGUGGGGAAUCUUGCACAAUGGGCGGAAGCCUGAUGCAGCGACGCCGCGUGCGGGAUGAAGGCCUUCGGGUUGUAAACCGCUUUCAGCAGGGACGAGGCGAAAGUGACGGUACCUGCAGAAGAAGCCCCGGCUAACUACGUG